rnacentral:rRNA from 1 species
AUUGAACGCUGGCGGCUGGCCUAACACAUGCAAGUCGAACGAGUGGCGGACGGGUGAGUAAUGUCUGGGAACCUGCCUGAUGGAGGGGGAUAACUACUGGAAACGGUAGCUAAUACCGCAUACCAUCAGAUGUGCCCAGAUGGGAUUAGCUAGUUGGUGGGGUAACGGCUCACCAAGGCGACGAUCCAUAGCCGACCUGGGAGGGUGAUCGGCCAGACUGGGACUGAGACACGGCCCAGACUCCUACGGGAGGCAGCAGUAGGGAAUCUUCGGCAAGGGACGAAAGGCUGACCGGGCAACGCCGCGUGAGUGGAGGAGGUUUUCGGGUGGUAAAGUACGUUCAGCGGGGAGGCGUUACCCGGAGAAGAAGCACCGGCUAACUCCGUGCCAGCAGCCGCGGUAAUAC